rnacentral:rRNA from 1 species
CGUGCAGGCGGUUUCGUAAGUCGGACGUGAAAGCUCUUGGCUUAACUGGGAGAGGUCGUUCGAUACUGCGAGACUUGAGGUCGGGAGAGGGACGUGGAAUUCCCGGUGUAGUGGUGGAAUGCGUAGAGAUCGGGAGGAACACCAGUGGCGAAGGCGGCGUCCUGGCCCGCACCUGACGCUAAGACGCGAAAGCGUGGGUAGCGAACG